rnacentral:lncRNA from 1 species
AAGUAUUUGUAACGAGAAGAAGUAGAAGUGUGGUAAGGUUCCCAAGUAUCCACAUGUAUCAAUUGGAAUGGUCUAGUUGUACUGAUACUACUGUCAUGAAAAGGAAGUCUAGUCUGCUUGGCCAUAGGGCAGACAGAACAUGGAAAGGGUUGUUUAGGAGCAAGUGGAAAAGACAAACCUGAAAUAUGUCUAUUUGUAAAAGGAGUAUGUGCCAGUCUUAAAUGCCAAAUGUAAUUCAUAUAAUUGAUAACAAAAUUAUUACAAAUGGAAUUGUUUACAAUUGAAGGUAAACAAACAUUGUUGCUGUCAGACAUAGUGUCAUCAUUACAAAAAUUAGGCAAAGCACACACAGAAGUAAAAGGAGAAACAGAAGAGGGAGAAGGGGAAGGAGGCACCCAUGACAGUUUAUACAAUCCAGCUUCCUCUUUACCAAGAUCCAGAGGCCUCUUCAGAGAAGGGUCCUGUAUCAUGUGAAGUAAACAGGAAGUUGGAGUGAAUGAAACUAUACAGUGCAACUGUUUAAUCAACUUGUGAACAGAAAUCAAGUUGUGUUUAGGAAGGGACCAGAGGCACAUUAUGAAGAGUGAGGGAAGAAGUUAGUGCAAAAGAACCUGUACAAGUUACUUUUUCUUUGUAACCAUUUGGUAAAGUUACAAGAUAAGGAACAGUCAAAGGUAUGAUACUUUUACUUUGUAACCAUUAGGUAAAGUUACAAGAUAAGGAACAUCCAAAGGUAUGAUGUUAAAGAGUAGUUGUUUAUUAUGUGUCAUAUGAUUGGAUGCCCCUGAAUCAAUGAUCCAGGUGACAGAAUUAAUAUGUGUAAGCAUGCAUAGUNNNNNN